UACGGAGGGGGCUAGCGUUGUUCGGAAUUACUGGGCGUAAAGCGCACGUAGGCGGACCAGCAAGUUGGGGGUGAAAUCCCGGGGCUCAACCCCGGAACUGCCUUCAAAACUGCGGGUCUGGAGGUCGAGAGAGGUGAGUGGAAUUCCGAGUGUAGAGGUGAAAUUCGUAGAUAUUCGGAGGAACACCAGUGGCGAAGGCGGCUCACUGGUCCGGUACUGACGCUGAGGUGCGAAAGCGUGGGGAGCAAACAGG
rnacentral:rRNA from 1 species